GACAGAGGGUGCAAACGUUGUUCGGAAUUACUGGGCGUAAAGCGCGUGUAGGCGGCUUCGCAAGUCGGGUGUGAAAUCCCACGGCUCAACCGUGGAAGUGCAUUCGAAACUGCAAGGCUAGAGUCCUGGAGAGGAAGGUGGAAUGCUUGGUGUAGAGGUGAAAUUCGUAGAUAUCAGGAAGAACACCCGUGGCGAAGGCGGUUCUCUGGGACGGUACUGACGCUGAGACGCGAAAGCGUGGGGAGCGAACAGG
rnacentral:rRNA from 1 species